AACGGCCAUACUAUGAUGAAUAUACCGGUUCUCGUUAGAUCACCGAAGUCAAGCAUCAUUGGGCGCGGUCAGUACUUGGGUGGGUGACCACCUGGGAACACCGCGUGCCGUU
rnacentral:rRNA from 1 species